rnacentral:rRNA from 1 species
CAGCCGCCACGGGAAUACGUAGGUGGCAAGCGUUGUCCGGAAUUAUUGGGCGUAAAGGGCUCGCAGGUGGUUUCUUAAGUCUGAUGUGAAAGCCCCCGGCUCAACCGGGGAGGGUCAUUGGAAACUGGGAAACUUGAGUGCAGAAGAGGAGAGUGGAAUUCCACGUGUAGCGGUGAAAUGCGUAGAGAUGUGGGGGAACACCAGUGGCGAAGGCGACUCUCUGGUCUGUAACUGACGCUGAGGAGCGAAAGCGUGGGGAGCGAACAGGAUUAGAUACCCCUGUAGUCCCUGUCUCUUAUAC